rnacentral:tRNA from 1 species
UGUUAGGUGUGGCAUAGUGGUUUGAGUGUUGGACUACGACUCUGGAGACCAGGGUUUGAAUUCCCGCUUGGCCA